UACGGAGGGCGCAAGCGUUGUUCGGAAUUACUGGGCGUAAAGCGCGUGUAGGUGGCCUGGCCAGUCGGGUGUGAAAUCCCGGAGCUCAACUCCGGAACUGCAUCCGAUACUGCCAAGCUCGAGUCUCGGAGAGGAUGGCGGAAUUUCCGGUGUAGAGGUGAAAUUCGUAGAUAUCGGAAGGAACACCAGUGGCGAAGGCGGCCGGCUGGACGAUGACUGACAAUGAGACGCGAAAGCGUGGGGAGCAAACAGG
rnacentral:rRNA from 1 species